rnacentral:lncRNA from 1 species
GAUGCUAAUAACAUGUUAAUUGCAUGAAUCAAGUUCCAAUUUGGUGAUUUCUUGCAAUAGUAGCAUGUUAAGGCUCAAAUUGGGGUUUUGCAAUAUGUAGAGGUUUGAUCUAAAUUGAGCAUGUAUAAACCUAAUUGCUAGGUUUUCUGAUGAGUUGGCGAAGUCGGUUCGGCGAUACGACGAGGCUACGCGAAGAUAUUGAAGAAAAGGCCGAUUUCGGUACAGAUUGUCGCAGCUCGCGGCGUAA